rnacentral:rRNA from 1 species
GCGCCUUGCCAGCCCGCUCAGAAACUUAAAGGAAUUGACGGGGGCCCGCACAAGCGGAGGAGCAUGUGGUUUAAUUCGAUGAUACGCGAGGAACCUUACCUGGGCUCGAACGUAAGAUGACUGUAGGUGAAAGCUUACAUCUCUUCGGAGCAUUUUACGAGGUGCUGCAUGGUUGUCGUCAGCUCGUGCCGUGAGGUGUCGGGUUAAGUCCCAUAACGAGCGCAACCCCUACCUUUAGUUGCCAUCAGGUUAAGCUGGGGACUCUAAAGGAACUGCCUACGCAAGUAGUGAGGAAGGCGGGGAUGACGUCAAAUCAGCACGGCCCUUACGUCCAGGGCUACACACGUGCUACAAUGGCCGGUACAGAGCGCAGCGAGGCCGCGAGGCGGAGCGAAUCGCUUAAAGCCGGUCCCAGUACGGAUUGGAGUCUGCAACCCGACUCCAUGAAGUUGGAAUCGCUAGUAAUCGCGCAUCAGCAUGGCGCGGUGAAUACGUUCCCGGGCCUU